CGUAGGGUGCGAGCGUUAAUCGGAAUUACUGGGCGUAAAGCGUGCGCAGGCGGUUUUUUAAGACAGGCGUGAAAUCCCCGGGCUCAACCUGGGAACUGCGCUUGUGACUGGAAGGCUAGAGUACGGCAGAGGGAGGUGGAAUUCCACGUGUAGCAGUGAAAUGCGUAGAGAUGUGGAGGAACACCGAUGGCGAAGGCAGCCUCCUGGGCUAGUACUGACGCUCAUGCACGAAAGCGUGGGGAGCAAACAGGAUUAGAUACCCUGGUAGUCCACGCCCUAAACGAUGUCUACUAGUUGUCGGGACUUAAUUGUCUUGGUAACGCAGCUAACGCGUGAAGUAGACCGCCUGGGGAGUACGGUCGCAAGAUUA
rnacentral:rRNA from 1 species